rnacentral:rRNA from 14 species
GACUCCUACGGGAGGCAGCAGUAGGGAAUAUUGGUCAAUGGGCGAGAGCCUGAACCAGCCAUGCCGCGUGUAGGAUGACGGCCUUCUGGGUUGUAAACUACUUUUCUACAGGAAGAAAAAGCUUAUGCGUAAGCAAUUGACGGUACUGUAGGAAUAAGCACCGGCUAACUCCGUGCCAGCAGCCGCGGUAAUACGGAGGGGGCAAGCGUUGUUCGGAUUUACUGGGCGUAAAGGGCGCGUAGGCGGAUGAUCAAGUCAGA